UACGUAGGGUGCAAGCGUUGCCCGGAUUUAUUGGGCGUAAAGGGCGCGUAGGCGGCUCUGCACGUUCGUUGUGAAAUCGCCCGGCUCAACUGGGCGGGGUCAGCGGAUACGGCAGAGCUUGAGCAAGCUAGGGGGCAAUGGAAUUCCCGGUGUAGUGGUGGAAUGCGUAGAGAUCGGGAGGAACACCUGUGGCGAAGGCGGCCCCCUGGGCCGGCCCUGACACUGAGACGCGAAGGCGUGGGGAGCGAACGGG
rnacentral:rRNA from 1 species